rnacentral:rRNA from 1 species
UUGAAAGAUGGUUCUGCUAUCACUAAGAGAUGGACCCGCGGUGCAUUAGCUAGUUGGUAAGGUAAUGGCUUACCAAGGCGAUGAUGCGUAGCCGAGUUGAGAGACUGAUCGGCCACAAUGGGACUGAGACACGGCCCAUACUCCUACGGGAGGCAGCAGUAGGGAAUCUUCCACAAUGGGCGCAAGCCUGAUGGAGCAACGCCGCGUGUGUGAUGAAGGGUUUCGGCUCGUAAAACACUGUUAUAAGAGAAGAACGACAUUGAGAGUAACUGUUCAGUGUGUGACGGUAUCUUAUCAGAAAGGAACGGCUAAAUACGUGCCAGCAGCCGCGGUAAUACGUAUGUUCCAAGCGUUAUCCGGAUUUAUUGGGCGUAAAGCGAGCGCAGACGGUUAUUUAAGUCUGAAGUGAAAGCCCUCAGCUCAACUGAGGAAGGGCUUUGGAAACUGGAUAACUUGAGUGCAGUAGAGGAAAGUGGAACUCCAUGUGUAGCGGUGAAAUGCGUAGAUAUAUGGAAGAACACCGGUGGCGAAAGCGGCUUUCUGGACUGUAACUGACGUUGAGGCUCGA